UACAUGGGACGGUUGUAUCAAAUUAACAUGCUAAACUAUUUUUCCUUGAAAGGUGUAUGCACCUAUAUCAUACGUGCAAAAUACAGAAAUGUUUCCUGCAAUUGAAUGUGGAUGGGCAAAGAGCUGGCACCCAGGUGGAUUUCCAGUACCAGUUGGAACUUUUUCCAGUGAAGAUCUAAAACCCUCUUCUGAAGAGUCUCAACCAACAGGAGGGAUCGCAACUCUUGUAGCAUGGGGCAGGACUCAGAGAGCACAGAGGAGCUCCAAUGAACAGUGGAGAGCAACAAAACCACACGAGCUGAGAAACUUCCAAUUUUCCUAAAGGAGUUAGAACUCUUCUAUCUAUGCAGCUCAAGAGAGAAUUUCACAGCCGCCAGUCAUCUUCAUGGAUAAAAACAUCACGAACAACUGGCCAACUUCAUCAGUCUCUGAUUGAGACUGUUUCAGAGUCAGCUAUCAGAUGCAACCACCCCCAUCUGCCCUUGGUGAUUAAGAGCUGACACCAGCCCCCGGGAUAGUCUGACCUUGCAUUUUCCACUCCCUGCCUCCUCCCCCCAGUCCCUACCUUCUGGUCUGAUUCUGCGAAAAACUUCUAACAACGGAAAACAUAAAAAA